AUUGAACGCUGGCGGCAUGCCUUACACAUGCAAGUCGAACGGCAGCACGGGAGCAAUCCUGGUGGCGAGUGGCGAACGGGUGAGUAAAGUAUCGGAACGUGCCCAGUCGUGGGGGAUUACGUAGCGAAAGUUACGCUAAUACCGCAUACGAUCUAUGGAUGAAAGCGGGGGAUCGCAAGACCUCGCGCGAUUGGAGCGGCCGAUAUCAGAUUAGGUAGUUGGUGGGGUAAAGGCUCACCAAGCCGACGAUCUGUAGCUGGUCUGAGAGGACGACCAGCCACACUGGGACUGAGACACGGCCCAGACUCCUACGGGAGGCAGCAGUGGGGAAUUUUGGACAAUGGGCGAAAGCCGGAUCCAGCCAUGCCGCGUGCAGGAUGAAGGCCUUCGGGUUGUAAACUGCUUUUGUACGGAACGAAAAGGUUUGGCCUAAUAAGCUGAGCUCAUGACGGUACCGUAAGAAUAAGCACCGGCUAACUACGUGCCAGCAGCCGCAGUAA
rnacentral:rRNA from 1 species